rnacentral:misc_RNA from 1 species
GAUGAAGAACGCAGCGAAAUGCGAUAAGUAAUGUGAAUUGCAGAAUUCAGUGAAUCAUCGAGUCUUUGAACGCACAUUGCGCCCCCUGGUAUUCCGGGGGGCAUGCCUGUCCGAGCGUCAUUGCCGCCCUCAAGCACGGCUUGUGUGUUGGGCCCCCGCCCCCCGGCUUCGGGGGGCGGGCCCGAAAGGCAGCGGCGGCACCGCGUCCGGUCCUCGAGCGUAUGGGGCUUCGUCACCCGCUCUGUAGGCCCGGCCGGCGCCCGCCGGCGACCCCAAUCAAUCUUUCCAGGUUGACCUCGGAUCAGGUAGGGAUACCCGCUAAACUUAAGCAUAUCAAUAAGCGGAGGA